ensembl:lncRNA
ACCAUUUAAAACAAACAACCUGACAACACUGAGAUGACAACCUGUCCCCCAAAGUGCAAAAUCAGCAACGAUGCUGGAGAGUCCAGAAAGCAGCCUGCUCUGACCUGACUGUCGCCUGCAAGGCUCCUCUGUCCAUGAAAUUCUCCAGGCAAGAAUACUGGAGCAGUUUGCUCUGCCCUCCUCCAGGGGAUCUUCCCGACCCAGGGAUGGAACCUGUGUCUCUUAUGUCUUCUGCAUUGGCAGCGGAUGUGAAAUAUUGGCCAAAUUGUUGAGGCAGCUGAGCCCACAGCAAACGGCCUUGCUGUGAAAACAUCCUUGGCUGUUUGGUGGUAUCAGAGGGGACCAUGAGCCCAACCCCAGGUGACAGUGGGAAGGACUGAAGGAGCACCGCAUCAGAGGAGAAGGAAGAGAGUCAAGUGGAAGGAAAAACAGGAAGUGAAAGGGCUGCUGCCCUCCCUGAAUUAAAGGUUCACCAUCCUCCUGCUCUCAAGAGCAUCCAUAUGUUCUGUCACCCGCCCACAGAGGCGAAAACAUCAGACCAGUGUUGAAAGGGUCAAUGUGGCUUUCUACCAAG